rnacentral:rRNA from 1 species
UACGUAGGGUGCGAGCGUUAAUCGGAAUUACUGGGCGUAAAGCGUGCGCAGGCGGUUCGUUAAGUUCGUUGUGAAAGCCCCGGGCUCAACCUGGGAACUGCAAUGGAAACUGGCGGGCUUGAGUGUGGAAGAGGGGGGUGGAAUUCCGCGUGUAGCAGUGAAAUGCGUAGAGAUGCGGAGGAACACCGAUGGCGAAGGCAGCCCCCUGGGCCAACACUGACGCUCAGGCACGAAAGCGUGGGGAGCAAACAGG